GCGAAAAAAAAAGCCGAGCUUUGCAUGGAGGAAGGGGAAAGAAUUGGGAAGGACGACGACGAAGAAGAAGAUGGAUGGAGUGGUUUUGCAAAGGCGAGAGUGACGAGCGACGCAGCAUCCGUGUCUCGUGCCACCCGACACAGCAUGCGGCGAUCGAGGACUUUGGUCUGGUUGCUUGCUUGGAUUUGAUCAGUCCCCGCGGGAUCGAAGAGAAAAGUGUGGGGAGAAGUGCGUAACGGGCUCGACUUGCCGGUAAGUCUCUCGCAGCAUUUGUUUAAGCUCGUGAAAUCUAACGCCUUUGUUUUGCAUCAGGAGAGGAGGGAUUUUAAUUGUUCUUCGCUGUCGGGAUUAAGCAGCUGGAAGUUUGUUUCUUUUUCUGCGUUUCUCGGACAUCGCUGAUCAGGCUUCUCUUUAAAUACUGUUAAAAAUCUCUGUUUUUUUGGUCUUUGCGGAGCUCCAGAGAGGUCAGUCUCGUCACUUUGCUUCAAAGGUCGUUUUAAAGUUUAAACUUCUGGCAUUGCUUGACACUUCCAAUGGCAGGCUCGAAGGAUUCGAUCGAGAGAAGCGAGUUUUACUCCCUCUCAACAGGCAGGCAGACAUGAUCAAGAAAAAACAACUCUCGAGAUCGCGAAGAUAGAUGGCCAGGCCCGUUUUCGAGCUUCUCGCUCGCUCGUUCCAGCGUCGAUCUCACAGCAAGUUUACGGAACUCCGGAAUCUUUCCCUGUUCCCCAUGGCCAAAGGACAACCUUUACAACGAGGGCC
rnacentral:lncRNA from 1 species